rnacentral:rRNA from 1 species
AGCGAACGCUGGCGGCAGGCCUAACACAUGCAAGUCGAACGAACCUUUCGGGAUUGGUGGCGGUCGGGUGUGUAACACGGGGGAACGUGCCUUUAGGUUCGGAAUAACUCAGUGAAACUUGUGCUAAUACCGAAUGAGCCCUUCGGGGGAAAGAUUUAUCCCAGUUAGAGAGGCCGGCGUCUGCCUAGCCAGUUGGUUGAGGUAAGGGCGCACCAAGGCGACGUUCAGUAGCGGGUCUGAGAGGACGAGCCGCCACAUCGGGACGGGGCCACGGCGCAAACUCCUACGCGAGGCGGCAGAGCGUGAUCUUGCGCAAUGGGCGAAAGGCUGACGCAGCCAUGCUGGGAGAAUGAUGAAGGUCUUAGAAAAGUAAAAUUCUUUCACCGGGGGCGAUAAUGACGGUACCCGGAGAAGAAGCCCCGGCUAACUUCGUG